AUUACAAUUAAAGGCAUGGGAAAUUUAUACAUUUUCAUUUUACUUGUUUCUGUUAAUUUUUUCGUGGAAGGUUCAUUUGGUGCUUAUUUGUCAGAUAAGGAUAAGGCCGUGGAAAAUGACAAAAGAAGAUUGGAGAAGUUGGUCGACGAGAGGGAUUUGUUGGUCAAGGUCUACCACGAUUGCGUUUUGGACUUUAAACACAAAGAAAAGGAACAAUUAAAAACUACAAUCCAGAAUUACUUUUAUGAGUUGAAAAAUGACAUAAUAAAUACACUGUUUUUGUAUCCUCAUCCGGACUAUGGUCUCGUCAGCGGGCUUUAUGACUUUUUAGUACGGGAAAAGUCCGAGACGGCCGAGGAGGCUUUCACCAAGUACGAAGCCCUUUUGGACCUAAUCCGGACAAAUCUGGAGUCAGAGACAGUAGACGAUUUGAGCACGAUGUACUGGAAGAGGGUGGAAAAGUUUCUCACGGACCCUUUCGACUUUUUAGGCAAGUUGUCUAAUGUUACAAACGCAAUGGUGUAUGGAUAUUCGCCUUCCGUGAUACCCAGGCAGCCGAAUAUAUGCAUUAAAACUUUUAUCAAGCAUCUGAUCACAAAAGGACGCAUGGUGAUGGAACAUUAUCAAAACUGCGCGAUUUAUUUUGAAAAGGGCCAGGAGAAAAGAGUCCAAAGCCUUGCCCAGAAAUUGGACAGGUUCAAGGCCGACCUUCACGAAAGCAUAUUGACCGACGAUGAAGACGGCGUGUAUUUCGCCGAACGGGUCAUAACUUUAUCUUUGAACCAGAUUAUAACGGCAGGUUUCUAUUCAAUGACCGUAGAUUACGGUUUUCUCUACCUCGUCAUACACGACUAUCUGCACGAUGUUGCGAACGAUACCCACACCGUCAGCCAAUUUUGGAGAGCUGCUAUCAAGUUUUUGAACGGGCCGUUCGAGUUUUCAGGUCCUCGCCUUAAGUCUGAAAACGUGUCAAGGGAGAUUGGUCAAUGUUUGAAAAUCAAUAUGGAACAUAUGUUGGAGAAGAGACAAAAACUGCCCACGCCUUACCACACAUGCGCCGUAGAAUUGGACGUUAAGAAACGAAAAUUGAUGUUGGACAAAAUCAAAGAAAACAUGGAUAAUUUAAAGAACCUAAUGGAUAAAAUGCGCUUUGAGGAUAAUAAACGCGACAGGGUUCUUCUGGAUUUCUUUAACAUUUACGUCUUCAAUAUGCCCGCGAAGAAUUUAAAAGAGGGUUUCAAGAAGUACGAAAACGUGAUGAAUUUCUUCUUCAACACUCUUACCUGGACGGAGGAAAGACUGGACGAACUGGACACGAAGUAUUGGUCGAGAGUGACAAAUUUUUUCAACGGGCCUUCCAUCUUCUCAGGAAUAAUAUCUAACGAAACGGAAAAAGCUUUAAGUGACGUAUCGGCGAAUAUGGCAGACAUAAAACAAGAAAUUACAGGUAAUUUAAAAAAUGAUUUUCUCAACCAGCUCAUGGAUCGUAUGAGAAUGAUUCGAACCUAUCACAUCUGCGGUGACGAAUUUACCGUCGAGACGAGGAUGAAGCUCACCCAUGCGAUCGCUGACGAGCUGAAGUCUUUGAAAAACGACAUGGACGAAAUGUAUUUGAGUGAGAAAAAGUCGAACGGUUAUCUAAUACAGGACCUGUACUCGAGGGUCUGGCCGAUGUGGACGCAUUCGGACAAGGGGUUCCAAGCAGCUUUCGAAGUGUAUCAUCAGCUCUUGAACUCCUUCAUGUCCUCUUUGAAGAAUGGUUUCGAUGAACCGUCCCAACUUCGGAAGGACUUUUGGAAGAGGAUAAUGCAAUUUGUCAAAAUGCCGGUUUUAUGACGAAAAGUUCAACGUGGACUCAACGUCAAGACGUCGGGACCCUUGGCAAUUUGCUACAACCAUGAAGGAGGUGAUGUGUAAUCAAGAUUGAUUGACAGGUAGGUAAAUAGUAAAUGUUAGGAAUGUUGGCCU
rnacentral:misc_RNA from 1 species